GGAGUGUUUGGAAAGCCGCGAUUCACGUGCCAGAACCAUGAAUAAUGGUCUUUGUUAGGUUUCAACUCUAGCCUACCCCAACUUGCUUGGGAUUAAAAGGCUUUGUUGUUGAUGUUGAAGCAAUAUGAAAACAGUUACAUCAACUAGUGCUUUGCGGCACCGAUCAACUUUGCUAUGCCUCCAUCCUCAAGGGCUGUCAACCUCUUGCAGUCACCGAUUGCUGUUUGCUGUCCACACACGGCUUGUGAGCCGCGGUGUCUACGCCCGGCACCUUGCAAGAUCCCGCAACAAAGAAGGCAAGUGGCACCAGUGCUUUGCGGCUCCCCGCCACCCAUGUGGAACCUCCUGAGCCUCCGAAGCACGCUGGGUAGAGCUCAUAAAGAUGUAGGGCGAUAGGGGGCGUCGGCCCGCACUAUGCACAACAACUGCUCGAGGAAAUGCCUCUAAGAAAUCAAUGGGAUCAGAUAUGACCUGAUUGCAACAUCCAAGACAUUCCUGACGCCAUGAAAGGAAAACACUGGCCAAAUGAUUAGCUUACAAGAAGAAAACACUUGCCAGACUACUACGGCGCGGCAACGUCUCGCCCAGAGUUCUAGUGAGGAAACUAAUACUUAUGCUAGUGUCAAACUUCCAUUCAUCGCGCCAAAUCUCCAAACUCUUGUGCUAUCACGAGUGAUGAGGUUAGUUUUAUCUUUCCCUAUAAAUUCAUCAUUCUGGAAGCAAAAUGGAUUGUAGCAUAAUAGUUUAUAUUGAGUUAUUUACAAUACUCGAAUACUCAAUUCACAUUAAUCUUUCGGGGCAUUUCUUUGUUCAGACAGUCAAUACACCAAAGGUUUUUGCCAAAUUCAUCCAGCUCAAGUAUUUGGCGAUAGAGGUUUCCACAUCAAAGUUUUCCCAAGACUAUGAUCUCUGCUCUCUUAUUUCUUUUCUUGAUGCUUCUCCAUUGGAGUCUCUCAUUGUACGGAUAAGGCAGCCAACCAUGAGGCAUGAUUCAGUUAUUGAAGACUCAAGUGGUUACUCACGUCCACGGUGCCUUCAAGGACAGUGCCAUGACAACCUCAAGAAUGUGAUGAUAACCGGAUUUUGCUCUGCGAAGAGCAUGAUUGAGCUCACAAUCUGUAUUAUCGAGAAAACAAAGACAUUGGAGUGCCUUACAUUGGACACUACCCGUGGUCAUGAUAGGAGGUAUGCCAAGAUUGAUAAGUGCCUGCGGCUGAAUAAGGAGGCACUUGUGAAGGCUAAAAAAGACCGUAUUGCCAUUCAGAGAUAUGUCGAGGGAAGAGUGCCCCCUUCUGUGAACCUGAAGGUUAUUGAGCCAUGUAGCAAGUGUGUCGAGAAAUAUAAAGCGCUUCUCCAAGCUAUGAUAUGCAUAAUUUAGCUUCCCAAUUCACCCUGUGUAACUAGGGGCAGUUCUAUGUACUUCUGCUAGAAAGGAUGUAGGAGAACAUUCUUAUUGCUUGAUAACAGAAGUCGAGCUAGUAAUGUAGACACUAGCAGAUUGCACG